UACGGAGGGUGCAAGCGUUGCUCGGAAUCACUGGGCGUAAAGCGGACGCAGGCGGAUCAGUAGGUCAGGCGUGAAAGCCCGGGGCUCAACCCCGGAACUGCGCUUGAAACCGCUGGCCUGGAAUACGGGAGAGGGGAGUGGAAUUCCUGGUGUAGAGGUGAAAUUCGUAGAUAUCAGGAGGAACACCUGUGGCGAAAGCGGCUCCCUGGCCCGAUAUUGACGCUCAUGUCCGAAAGCGUGGGUAGCAAACAGG
rnacentral:rRNA from 1 species